AACUGGUGAGUAACACGUGGGUAACCUGCCCAGAAGCGGGGGAUAACACUUGGAAACGGGUGCUAAUACCGCAUAAUAACAGAAACCGCAUGGUUUCUGUUUGAAAGAUGGUUUCGGCUAUCACUUCUGGAUGGACCCGCGGCGUAUUAGCUAGUUGGUGGAGUAAUGGUUCACCAAGGCAAUGAUACGUAGCCGACCUGAGAGGGUAAUCGGCCACAUUGGGACUGAGACACGGCCCAAACUCCUACGGGAGGCAGCAGUAGGGAAUCUUCCACAAUGGACGAAAGUCUGAUGGAGCAACGCCGCGUGAGUGAAGAAGGGUUUCGGCUCGUAAAACUCUGUUGUUGAAGAAGAACACACCUGAGAGUAACUGUUCAGGUGUUGACGGUAUUUAACCAGAAAGCCACGGCUAACUACGUGCCAGCAGCCGCGGUAAUACGUAGGUGGCAAGCGUUGUCCGGAUUUAUUGGGCGUAAAGCGAGCGCAGGCGGUUUCUUAAGUCUGAUGUGAAAGCCUUCGGCUUAACCGGAGAAGUGCAUCGGAAACUGGGAGACUUGAGUGCAGAAGAGGACAGUGGAACUCCAUGUGUAGCGGUGAAAUGCGUAGAUAUAUGGAAGAACACCAGUGGCGAAGGCGGCUGUCUGGUCUGUAACUGACGCUGAGGCUCGAAAGCAUGGGUAGCGAAC
rnacentral:rRNA from 1 species